GUCAUACUACGGCGCAACGCCCCAAAAAGUAAACGAUGACCCAUAAGGAACUCCAGGGUAAAAUGAUCAUCAAAUAGAGAAUUGUAGCUGACCUGGGACCUUGAGCCCCGGGUCGGUAUUUUUU
rfam:Escherichia coli ISC11, WGS project CBWP01000000 data, contig: c20